CUCUAUCUACAAUGAUCAAUCUGAUGGGGGAAGGAACUGAUGACUUCUAAGAUCCAUUUUAACCUGGAGCCUCUGAUCCUAUGAGAGCUCCUUUCAAGUUUACGUGAUCAAACAAGCUUCAGUUCACCACUGAAAUCUGCACAGGAUUUAGAGGCCUGGAAGGAAAAGGAAGCAAGCAGGACUCAGAGAACCUGAAAGGGACUGAAACUUUUAGUCAAGGAAGAGAAGCAAUCUGCAUUCAUUCUAAAAGAUGAUGGCAAACAGGAGAAAGAUGAGCACACAGCAGCUGAAGAAUUUUUUCUUCAAGCUGGUGCGAGUCAUAAUGAAAGAUGUGUUCAAGGAAACCACGCUGUUCUGAGCAGGAAAAUAUGCCUAAAAAAAAGACA